CAAAGACCACAACAUCAAGUGAAAUCCCUGGCUUCAGGAGAAAUGGAGAACAAAUGAUCAGGCAUAAUCACCAUCUUCAUGACCUUCAGGAUUGAAUACUGCCCCAGGUGUCUGAUGCCCUGCAUGAGAAUGAAGCUAUUCUAGAUCAGGAUGCAAGUGCUGCCGAGCGUCAUCCAAUGGAAAAGCAGGCUCGUGGAAACGGUAGUAUAUCCUCACGCACAGGACUGGGCCCGACGCAACCUCUGGCUCUCCCACAAAGUCAAAGUGAUAACGCAAAGUAAACACUUUGAAUCUACUCAAGUCAUCACGGGAGCCCUGGCAGUGCAACUAAAGACAGGAAAGAGGACUUCUAAAGAGUACCUUUUAAAUAUGCUGUGGUUUGGACUGCUGUUCAUUCUUCUGAAGACGUAUAUGUUCUAUAUGAAGCAAAGAAAGACAGAGAAAGUGACUGACGGAUGAGUGGAAGGAUCCGAGAAUGAAGCAACAGUGGCCUGGACUAAACUCAUAGCUGUGGAAACAGAGGGAAAAGAACAGAUCCAAGAAUAAUUUCAGAGAAGUAAACAGAAUAAUUCAAUAAAUACUAGAAGAAGGAGGUGAGAUGUGGUAAAAAUUAUUAAUUUCCCAGGUUCAAAACCUAAUGCACCAAGAGAAUGACGAGGACAGCUGGGAAGUAAAGUUUGGAAAAGGACAUUAUCUUAGUACGAAACUUCAGAC
rnacentral:lncRNA from 1 species